GACGAACGCUGGCGGCGUGCUUAACACAUGCAAGUCGAACGGAAAGGCCCUGCUUUUGUGGGGUGCUCGAGUGGCGAACGGGUGAGUAACGCGUGAGUAACCUGCCCUUGACUUUGGGAUAACUUCAGGAAACUGGGGCUAAUACCGGAUAGGAGCUCCUGCUGCAUGGUGGGGGUUGGAAAGUUUCGGCGGUUGGGGAUGGACUCGCGGCUUAUCAGCUUGUUGGUGGGGUAGUGGCUUACCAAGGCUUUGACGGGUAGCCGGCCUGAGAGGGUGACCGGCCACAUUGGGACUGAGAUACGGCCCAGACUCCUACGGGAGGCAGCAGUGGGGAAUAUUGCACAAUGGGCGGAAGCCUGAUGCAGCAACGCCGCGUGCGGGAUGACGGCCUUCGGGUUGUAAACCGCUUUCGCCUGUGACGAAGCGUGAGUGAUGGUAAUGGGUAAAGAAGCACCGGCUAACUACGUG
rnacentral:rRNA from 1 species